GUCUGGUUGGCUCAGUUGGUAGAGCAUGCAACUCUCACUCACAAGGUUGUGAGUUAAAGCCCCAUACUGGGCA
rnacentral:tRNA from 1 species